UGGGGAAGUCUUGCACAAUGGGGCAACCGGUAGCAUGCAGCGACGCCGCGUGAGUGAUGAAGCCCUUCGGGUGUGAAGCAUCUUUCGACAGGGACGAUAAUGACGGUACCUGGAGAAGCAGCUGCGGCUAACUACGUGCCAGCAGCCGCGGUAAUACGUAGGCAGCAAGCGUUGUUCGGAGUUACUGGGCGUAAAGGGUGCGUAGGCGACCGUGUAAGUGUGGUGUGAAAUCUCCCGGCUUAACUGGGAGGGUGCGCUACAGACUGCAUGGCUAGAGUGUGGGAGAGGAAAGUGGAAUUCCUGGUGUAGCGGUGAAAUGCGUAGAUAUCAGGAGGAACACCGGUGGUUGUUAAACGGCUUUCUGGACCAUAACUGACGCUGAUGCACGAAAGCGUGGGUAGCAAACA
rnacentral:rRNA from 1 species